CCCUUAGAUGUUCUGGGCAGCACGCGCGCUACAAUGGUCUUCGCAAACGGAUGCAUUCUCGAAGGAGAAUGCCAAUCUUGGAAUCUAUGCCUUGGUCGGGACAGUUGCUUGCAAUUUUUCGACUCGAACCAGGAAUUCCUUGUAAUCGUGAUUCAUCACAUCACGAUGAAUACGUCCCUGCCCUUUGUACACACCGCCCGUCGCUCCUACCGAUCGAAGAGUUAGGUGAAUUGUUUUGAUCGAUAAGAUUUGACUAUGGUCAACUCUCGUUGUGAAAUUCUGUGAAUCUGACUGUCUAGAGGAAGGAAAAGUCGUAACA
rnacentral:rRNA from 1 species